UGGCUCAGUUGGUAGAGCAUGGUGUUUGCAACGCCAGCAUGGUGUGUGGGUUGUGGGUUCGAUUCCCAC
rnacentral:tRNA from 1 species